rnacentral:misc_RNA from 1 species
AGCAGCCGCGGUAAUUCCAGCUCCAAUAGCGUAUAUUAAAGUUGUUGCAGUUAAAAAGCUCGUAGUUGAAUUUCGAGAUCAAAUUGUUGGUCGUGCCUUGGUACGCACUGGCAUUAUUGGUUUCUCCCUUCUGACGAACCAUGAUGUCAUUAAUUUGGUGUCUUGGGGAAUCAGGACUGUUACUUUGAAAAAAUUAGAGUGUUUAAAGCAGGCUCACGCUUGAAUACAUUAGCAUGGAAUAAUGAAAUAGGACGUUUGAUUCUAUUUUGUUGGUUUCUAGGAUCGACGUAAUGAUUAAUAGGGAUAGUUGGGGGCAUUAGUAUUCAAUUGUCAGAGGUGAAAUUCUUGGAUUUAUUGAAGACUAACUACUGCGAAAGCAUUUGCCAAGGAUGUUUUCAUUAAUCAAGAACGAAAGUUAGGGGAUCGAAGACGAUCAGAUACCGUCGUAGUCUUAACCAUAAACUAUGCCGACUAGGGAUCGGAUGAUGUUAAUUUUUUUAAUGACUCAUUCGGCGCCUUA